rnacentral:rRNA from 1 species
GACGAACGCUGGCGGCGUGCCUAAUACAUGCAAGUAGAACGCACAGUUUAUACCGUAGCUUGCUACACCAUAGACUGUGAGUUGGGAACGGGUGAGUAACGCGUAGGUAACCUGCCUGGUAGCGGGGGAUAACUAUUGGAAACGAUAGCUAAUACCGCAUAAUAUUAAUUAUUGCAUGAUAAUUAAUUGAAAGGUGCAAUUGCACCACUACCAGAUGGACCUGCGUUGUAUUAGCUAGUAGGUGAGGUAACGGCUCACCUAGGCGACGAUACAUAGCCGACCUGGGGGGGGGAUCGGCCACACUGGGACUGGGACACGGCCCAGACUCCUACGGGAGGCAGCAGUAGGGAAUCUUCGGCAAUGGACGAAAGUCUGACCGAGCAACGCCGCGUGAGUGAAGAAGGUUUUCGGAUCGUAAAGCUCUGUUGUAAGAGAAGAACGGGUGUGAGAGUGGAAAGUUCACACUGUGACGGUAUCUUACCAGAAAGGGACGGCUAACUACGUG